CUCAAAGACCACAAAAUUCAGAUGAGGCCUACUUACCACCCAGAAAGGCUCUUUGACGAGAACAAGGUGACUAAAGAAUCAAAAGAAAGAACAAAUCCAAUCUCUCAGUUGUGGCACGUGAAUGGUAAAUGCCCCGAGGGUACCAUACCCAUUAGAAGAACAAAGAAAGAUGAUGUUUUGAGAGCAAGCUCAGUGAAAAGGUAUGGCAAGAAGAAGCGCAGAAGCAUCCCCAAGCCAAGGUCUGCAGAUCCUGAUCUCACUAAUGAAAGUGGCCACCAGCAUGCAAUAGCUUAUGUAGAAGGGGAC
rnacentral:misc_RNA from 1 species